UCCCAGGCUGAAGAUUCAUGCAGGCCCUGCGCUUAGCCCAGACUCUGGCCAGGCCCGGCCCAGCCCGAAGGUGGGCGGCUCCCGGCGCAGGGCGGCCCAGCCCCAACCACUGAGAGGAGGACCCUCCGGCGUCCUAGAGUGGCCGCAGGCCGCGGCGUCGGGUUGGAAAACCAGGAGAGCAUGGAGCUUUUUCGCUGGUCCGGCGCGGUCUCUUGCGUUCCUGUGGCGGGCACCUGACUCCCCAUGCCCGAGUACUGUCCUCAGGCGGAACGGCGUCUGCAGCGAGGAGCGGGGUUCCAGCAGGCUCGGCUGACGCGGUCCCUGGCAUUUCCCGUGCUGGCCCUGGGUCGCCCUCGAUGCUGCUUCCCGCUGGGAGCCUCCUUCUGACGGCGGAAAGGAGCUUCACCUGGGGCGGCCGGCGGGGAACGGAGAAGAAUCCACCGGGGAAGUGGACGGGGCUGGCUCCCGGGCCUGGCGCUGCGGCUCUCGGGCCGUCAGACCUCCCGCGGGUUGCGUCACUUUCCUCGGUUUUCUAGACAGCAGUUGUGGGGUUGAAUCCUUGCCGUGGUUUUGUAAGAAUUAAAUGAGAUAAUGAACGCGAACACCAAUCAUUGCUCUUUGUUGGGUGCUUCCUGUGGGCCUGGCAAUAUUAACAACACGAGCUCAUUCAUGCAUUCAUUUGCUACUCAGUGACUUUCCUGUCAAUACUGCAAGGUGCUGGAGAUGAGCCCCCACUCUUUGGUCAGUAAAACUGCCAAGAUCACCGACCUUGUGAAGACAUUUGAGGAUGAGAGGUUGGUUGGAGCCUGGACGUGGAGACAGACUCUAAAUAGUUAACUACAAGACACAUGUAAUUACAACUUUGAGAGCUUAUAGCGGGAGGCCCUUUUGGGAAGGGGGUGGAGAUGGAGAAGAGGAAGAAAGAAAGGGCUUCCCUGAGGAAGUAAUAUUGCAGCUGUGACCUGACAGAUGAGGCCGAACCAGCUAGACUCGUGUUUCAGGCCUCGGGAAUAGCAUAAGGACUCCAGCUGGCUCCUUCCGGGUUGAGUCCUUAUGCUGAAAUUGGUAUUUGGCACACACCAGUAGUAGAACGCCACUCAAUGCCUUAUUCUCUUCCCCUUCUCUCAGCUCUGUCCCCUC
rnacentral:lncRNA from 1 species